rnacentral:misc_RNA from 1 species
GAAAUUAAGAGGAAGGAGCUUCUGGGAAGCUGGGUACUGAACUGGCGGAACUUCACAAACCAGCCAAUUGAUGACGUGUAUUCCUAUUUUGGGUUGAAGAUUGCCAUCUAUUUUGCUUUCCUUCGUAUGUAUACACGUUGGAUGCUCUUUCCAGCUGUGUAUGGAAUUAUUAUUCAGUUGGUUGACUUUGGGUAAGCCUCAUUAUCACUUACUAUGCUUCCUGGCUGUUAAUAUCCUUUAUGAUUGAUGCUGGUGCAUCUGGUGUGACAUUGCAAGUGAAUUACUCAUGUGCUUGCAUAUUUUUUUUCUCCCCUUUCAGAUCGUUGCAGUUCCUAGUUCUCCCAGUAUUCUUUAUAAGCAUAAUAUUAUGGGCCGUGUUGUUUUUCCAGUUCUGGAAACGUAAAAACUCUGCCCUUUUAGCCAGAUGGCAGAUACAUUAUUCAGCUAGUGCUGGCCAAGGAUGUAAAUUUUUGGGCAUGGAAUGGAGUUCCUUACAGUCAACUCUAGAACUAGUAAAAAAUUUGGGGAUUGAUAAAACAAAAAAGGAAGAAGCAUAUCGAAGAUAUGAAAGGUUUGGUCAUCUCAUGCAUUUUAGAAAUAAUGCUAUGAUUAUUUUGAGUGUUAUCUGCCUUCAGUUGCCAUUUGAG